AUAAAGUUUGAUUCUGGCUUUUUAAUUAACCCCCCCACUAAUCUAUAUGGGAAAUAUUUAAUUUAGUUGUAUUUGGCCAGUAGUAAGCAUUAAUUUUAUUAGAAGUUUUGAAUUAGUAGGUGGGAUAUAAAGUAGAUUAAUAUUUGUGCCAGCAUUCGCGGUUACACAAUUUACUUGAGUUAAUUUUAUUAUUUUUUAAUUUAAUUUUUUUUUAGGUUAAACGUUUAAGUUAUUUAGGUGGAAUUUAUAAUUGAUUAUAAAAUCUAUACAGACUUAUUUUAAGAAAUUUUGUUUAUAGACUAGGAUUAGAUACCCUAUUAUUAUUAUUGUAAAUUUUUUAGAAUAGUAGUAGUUAAGGCCCCCAAAGCUCAAAGAAUUUGGCGGUAAGAUAUCUUUUUAGAGGAAUCUGUAUAUUAAUUGAUAUUCCACAAUAGUUUGUACCCCCUAUUUACUUGUAUACCGCUAUACUUUGGAGUGUUAUAAAAUAAAGUAAACUCUCUUUUUUUAAGUUAAAUUUAUAUUAGGUCAAGGUGCAGUUUUGAGGGGGGUUAUAUGGAUUACUUUUGUUGUAAGUUUACCGAAGAUUAAUUAAGAUAAUUAAUCUGAAUGAGGAUUUAAUAGUAAGUUUAAAUUAAUUAAUUUGACUGAAUAUUGCCAUGUCUUAUGUACAUAUCGCCCGUCACUCCUAAUUAAGUUAGGAUAAGUCGUAACAAAGUAAUUUUACCGGAAGGUGAAGUUGGAAUUAG
rnacentral:ncRNA from 1 species